CUCCACGGAAUGAGCCCUCUCACCCGGCCGGGAAGCUCUAUCCCUGUCCACAGCACCCUGUGUCAUGUGUCUGUAUCGCCCUUUGUCAUGUGUCUGUCU